rnacentral:lncRNA from 1 species
UUAUUAUUCUAGGUCUUCAAAGGUUUUUCAUAAUAUCACGCGUACGGAGAACCCCAUCAGGCGAACUCCACAUGAAUGUGAUUAUUUUUACUCUACCUCUUCGGAGGCAGUUCUUGACGCCUCCAACCUCAUCUUGUCUUGUCGCUGCCCCAUCGUACGUUUUUUAGAAAAAUUGUAAUCUUGUCGAUGGAAAAUGAUGGCACCAUGGGUGGGUGAGGUGCCCACCAGUUUUUUGGGUCCGUCCAUGCAAGUUGUGCUCCCAAACUCUGUACAGAUACAAGUAAUUCGACUUUAGACGUACAGCCUUUAUAAGUUUUAAGUCCCCCCUAAUUCUCGCCACGGUUUCAUAAAAACCAAUGUGGGAUAGUUCAUCAAUCACCUCCUGUAGAGAAAGAAACUCAGAUUCCAUGAUGAUAAGCCUUCACAUCUGAAUAUAACAAUGGUCUUGAAGAAGGUCACUCUCCGUGUCCGGCGCCAGUAAUUCCUCCCCGUUAUUUGGAAGCCUACCCAGAGUUUCUUGCUGCAUGAGUUUAAAUGCGCAGCCAAGAACACAGCGCAGAUUAUUUGGCCGGAAUAGACCCGGCCGGGAGGCCUCGCUCAGAUGUUAUUGUGUAAAAUAUUCUCUCACAACAUUAUUAACAUAACGUCAAGAGCACGCACCAUAAAUCUACAUUGGUGGAGGAACGACGAUCGGAUUCCCUCCAAAAUUAUUCCCAGAUCAGACAUUUCAGCCCAUGGAAUAAAAUUGACGGCGAUUUCACUUCCUGGUAGACAGCAUGUCAGCCCAACGACAUGAGCUUCUUUUCGAGAGACUUGGCCGANNNN